UACAGAGGUCUCAAGCGUUGUUCGGAUUCAUUGGGCGUAAAGGGUGCGUAGGUGGCGCGCUAAGUCAGGUGUGAAAUUUCGGAGCUUAACUCCGAAACUGCAUUUGAUACUGGCGUGCUUGAGGACUGGAGAGGAGACUGGAAUUCAUGGUGUAGCGGUGAAAUGCGCAGAUAUCAGGAAGAACACCCGUGGCGAAGGCGGCUUUCUGGGACGGUACUGACGCUGAGACGCGAAAGCGUGGGGAGCGAACAGG
rnacentral:rRNA from 1 species